rnacentral:misc_RNA from 1 species
CGGGCUCGGCCUCCCUGCCC